rnacentral:snoRNA from 1 species
CCUGAUGAAGCACAGCACUGGGCUCCGACAUAACAGACAUGAGACGACAUGCUUUUCUGCGGCCGGCCUAGAAAACCGUGCCCACUGAUC